rnacentral:other from 2 species
GCCGCUCUGGAAUACUCGUAGCGCAUCCAUUUGGGUCCCUGACUACCUUUUCAUCACACUGUCUCUGGUUUCAGACGUGGUGAGCAAGCCCUCACAAGCAGAGGGAAGCCUGAAGCGUCUCACCGGGGAAUGUUGCGACAGAGGUCAGUAAUCCAAGUCUUCCCGCACGGUGUUCCGGAGCAACC